GCUAGCAAUGUGCCACUGACGGUUCAGCCGUUUUGGACGGCGAGGUGGUUGUUGUCGGAUCCGAACGGACCGCAGCAGUCAUCGUCGUCGUCCGAAAUGCGGUGCACUCUUUCGUGGUGCGCGUCAGCGUCGGUUCGCAGCGGGCGAUAAGGCCUUGCGGAAGGUAGCUCGGGCUUGCUCGAGUGUUAUAGACGCAGGUGCUGGGUCUGCUGCGGACCGAGGAGAGAGAGUAUCGUUGCAGCGCAUGCCGCAAGGCUAGCUACCUGCUGUUCGGCUCGCUUCACGGACUGAGGACUGCACGCAGUGCUCGGCUCGGCGGAGUGGUCGGGUGGUGGGCUGGUAUAAAUGCGCUCAGGACGCUGGCGUCCAAAUGGCCGUGCGCGACCCGUCUUGAAACACGGACCAAGGAGUCUAACAUGUGCGCGAGUCUUUGGGUGUCGAAACCCGUGGGCACAAUGAAAGUGAAGGCCUCUCGCGAGGCUGAGGUGAGAGCUGGCGCCGCGGUGUCAGUGCAUCAUCGACCGGUCCAGUCUUCUCUAAGACGGAUCCGAGUAAGAGCGUAUUUGUUGGGACCCGAAAGAUGGUGAACUAUGCCUGAAUAGGGUGAAGCCAGAGGAAACUCUGGUGGAGGCUCGUAGCGAUUCUGACGUGCAAAUCGAUCGUCAAAUUUGGGUAUAGGGGCGAAAGACUAAUCGAACCAUCUAGUAGCUGGUUCCCUCCGAAGUUUCCCUCAGGAUAGCUGGAACUCGNUCACACAGUUUUAUCAGGUAAAGCGAAUGAUUAGAGGUCUUGGGGGUGAAACACCCUCAACCUAUUCUCAAACUUUAAAUAGGUAAGAAGCUGUGACUUGCUUAAUUGAAGCCACGCAGUUCAAUGUGAGUUCCAAGUGGGCCAUUUUUGGUAAGCAGAACUGGCGAUGCGGGAUGAACCGAACGCUCGG
rnacentral:rRNA from 1 species